CAUGCAAGUCGAACGGAAAGGCCCUUCGGGGUACUCGAGUGGCGAACGGGUGAGUAACACGUGGGUGAUCUGCCCUGCACUUUGGGAUAAGCCUGGGAAACUGGGUCUAAUACCGAAUAGGACCACGCGCUUCAUGGUGUGUGGUGGAAAGCUUUUGCGGUGUGGGAUGGGCCCGCGGCCUAUCAGCUUGUUGGUGGGGUAAUGGCCUACCAAGGCGACGACGGGUAGCCGGCCUGAGAGGGUGACCGGCCACACUGGGACUGAGAUACGGCCCAGACUCCUACGGGAGGCAGCAGUGGGGAAUAUUGCACAAUGGGCGCAAGCCUGAUGCAGCGACGCCGCGUGAGGGAUGACGGCCUUCGGGUUGUAAACCUCUUUCACCAGGGACGAAGCGUAAGUGACGGUACCUGGAGAAGAAGCACCGGCCAACUACGUGCCAGCAGCCGCGGUAAUACGUAGGGUGCGAGCGUUGUCCGGAAUUACUGGGCGUAAAGAGCUCGUAGGUGGUUUGUCGCGUUGUUCGUGAAAACUCACA
rnacentral:rRNA from 1 species